GAAGUUCUGAAGGUUAGAAGUUUGCAGUCACUGUCAUGGAGUUAAACCACAGCACGUCUAUGCUGUUUGAAGGCCGCAGGGAAGAAUCCUUGCCAUUUAAGCAUCUGGAAGCUGCCUACAUCCUUUGGCUUGUGAUUGCUUCUUCACGUGGCUCCAACCUUCUGCUGCCGGCUUCACUUCUAGAACUGUGAUUUCCUGCAUCCCUCUCUCAUGACUUUCCUGGGCCUACACGAAUACAGGAAAAUCUACCCUGAAGGACAACUUGGCCUGGAAGCAAAGGGUACACACAGAUGAUCUCCAAGAGAGGAUGGAGGUCACUCAGCUCCAGGGUCCAAAAGGGGAUGGCUUCGGUCAAAGCAGACAGGCCUCAACCCUGUAGGACCCCUUCUUCAUCAAGGAGGGCCUCAGGUAGUGCUGUGUCCUGCUAAGCACCGGAA
rnacentral:lncRNA from 1 species